ensembl:lncRNA
AUCUUACAAGAUUAAAUGGUUUCCAUCCAGUGUACAAAAGCAUGGUCUUGAGAUAGUGAGAGAUGGGAUUCACAGGACGAGGAAGUUAGAAUCAUAGAAUCACCAAGGCUGGAAAAGAGCCACAGGAUGACCCAGUUCAACCAUCCACCCAUCACCAAUAGUUCUCACUACACCAUGCCCCUCAACAUAAUGUCCAAAUGUUCCUUGAACACCAUCAGGGUCAGUGACUCCACCACCUCCCUGGGCAGCCCAUUCCAGUGCCUGACCACUCUUUCAGAGAAGUAGUAUUUCCUAAUGUCCAGUUUGUAGAGACCACACAAAAAAUGUUAUAUUCCCUACUGAGUAUCCCCUCCUAGUCUUACUCCAUGCUCAUGGAGACCAUACUCAUCCUCUUGGAGUUUAAGAAGGCCAGCAUUCUGCUAAACACAAACAUCAGGAUCUGAGUUCAGGUAAUCAUAGAACCAUAUUUGAAUAUUUGUAUUUGGGUAAUGAUGUGGUAUUGAUAUACAGGAACAGUCUUCAAAUAUUAUAACAUAUUGAAAGCCUAAGUCUGCUAUGUUCUUUAAGUUAUAAAGCAGCUUGUGAAUAUCUCAAAGCAUACUAUUGAGCAUUCUUAAAUUUAGAAACCAUUUGCUGAAUUUUCGAGUUGAAGGCUGCUAAUAUAAUUCUAUUUCUUUAUUGACAGGAAGGUGAGCAGUAGACAGGGAAGAGUUACCCACCUUUGAGUAUUCAAGGAACUCUGCAAAACUGAGCACAGGGAUAGAGCAUGAACAGAGCAAUAGAAGAUUAAACCAACCCAAAAGGUUGUUUCAGCAUCUGACUUCUAAAGAGGCUGAUUAAUUAGCAUGGUAUUUUUAUGUCACCACAGUCUUUCAAAGGAAAUACCACAGACUGAACUUGGAUCAGAGUAAAAGAUUGUAAUGAAUAUUUCUGCAGACGAGCCUUUGCAAGUCCAGUGAUAUUUAUAUGUUAGUCCACCAUUAGAAGAGUCAAAAAAUAAAUUGAAGUGUGACAUUUAUUCAGCAAGACUUUUUACACAGAACUUACUUACGAAGUGUGGUUUACAGGAAUCCAUUUCAAUAUUCUGAGCAAAUCUAAUGAAAUAAAUCCCACCAACUUUGCGUAAGUCUUAAGGUUUCUUCUGAGAAUGUGAAAAGAAUAAUUCUAAAUAUAUUGUUUUAAAUUAUUUUAAAAAUUUAAAAUAUCAAGUGUGCAACACUCUUCUGUUUCAUUUGCAAGAAACAGCAGCAUCUAUGUACAAAAUAAAUCCCAGAGCAAGUCUAAGAUAACUAGGGACAACUAAAUCCAAACCACUAUAUUUAUUAAAAAAAAAGAUUUCCUUCUAUUGGGAUCAAAUUGGAUGUACACUUAAACACGUCUGUCGCACUCAGAAGGAAGGCAGGAGCCACACGUGUGAAAUAAAACAAUGAGUGAUGCUUGGACAACAAACUUCCCAAAUAAUCUUCAGUUUAAUAAUCCCACAAUAGUAAAAAUGUCAGGUAAUAAAUCUGAUUGUGCAUUCAAAAUUAGCUGUACAAAAAAAGCCAUAUCAUGAUUUUUUAAAUGAAUUCGGGAACAAGUGCCAUCAGAUCUACUUUAAAUCCCAAGCCUCCAGUAUUCUCUUUAGAAUUAAAGAUCUUUUAAAGUCAAGCAACAAGAACAAAGCAAUCACUGCAAAGUGUUUUCAAGUAAUUGACAGAGCAGGUUUCGUGUAUUAAUAGCAACAUGUUUUUGCCAACUCUUUAUAACAUCUUCAGGCCUAGAACAAUGACUCACAAAAAAUAAUGUUUGUGCACUAGAUAAACAGCUGAUAACAACUGUAAGAGUUGUCCAUGGCAACUAUGCUGUUAGGUUGUUAUUGUUAAAGAAUAUCUCAGGAAUCAUUGUUUUAAGGCAGUAACUAUAGUAAGUGUGAACUUGCACACACAAAAGAGGGUGCACACUUUUCACGUACUCAUUGAAGUCAAUGGCAAAAUCCUGACAGACUGCACAGGAUACUCAAUCAAGACAUCAUGACAAAAACACAGGUGAGCAAAUAAAAUCUGAUAGCAUCAUGGUUGUUUUAUAGGAAUAUGCUCUAUAAUAUGUAGAGCAUUCUCUGCCAGCUGUGCACCUGUCUCUAUGUAUUCAAGAGGAAUCUAUUCAGCAUAAUGUAUUUACAGAAUAUUAAUCAUACAUGCAGAAUAAAGACCCAAACAUACAGUACACAUACUAGGGGAGUAUUAAUGUUUACCUCAAGGUUAGUAUUCCUUGAGUAUUUCCUAAAGUUGAAAGAUAUCAGUACACUGAAAGAGAAUCUGUUCCUCUCAAAACUAUUUUGCAGAGCACAUCAUUCAUUAACAGCUUCAGUUUUUUCUUAUUGGAAAAUAUGAUUUUUCGUAUUGUUUCGAUACAUAUAGUAAAUCAGACUGUUUAUUUGUAGUCAUCUCCUUCUGCUCAUGCACCAGAAUUGUAUCUUUCACUAUUAAUUAUUUUACAAGAAAGACAUCUUGCUGUUCUCAUGUCCUUUCUGCUAGAUUAGUCUUCCCUUCACCUUUGUGACUGUUAUUAGCUGAGAAUAAACAGGGAGCUAAUUUUACAUAAGACAUCCAGUUCCAAGGAAAGUCUCAACCAUCUGGAAUGGAUGUGAGAGGAUUCUUGACACUCAGUUUUAUCAGACUCCCAUAUGGUUCUGAAUUAUUCUCUUUUUUUGCAGAAUAGCGAAGUGACGCUCAGCGAGAUUUUCUGCAAAAUGCAUUUCCCCAGCAUUCAUUUGUUUAUUUCACAUUGUCUGGUCAGCUUGUUAAAGCCACUAUGGGAUAAAUACAGCACUGGUAAAAAAUAAUGUUGUAGAGUAUCACAUCUUGCUGGCUAAAAGCGAGAAUACUUCAACACUCUCCAGAAAUAAAGGUCUCU